rnacentral:rRNA from 1 species
GAUGAACGCUGGCGGCGUGCCUAAUACAUGCAAGUCGAGCGAACGGACGAGAAGCUUGCUUCUCUGAUGUUAGCGGCGGACGGGUGAGUAACACGUGGAUAACCUACCUAUAAGACUGGGAUAACUUCGGGAAACCGGAGCUAAUACCGGAUGAUAUUUUGAACCGCAUGGUUCAAAAGUGAAAGACGGUCUUGCUGUCACUUAUAGAUGGAUCCGCGCUGCAUUAGCUAGUUGGUAAGGUAACGGCUUACCAAGGCAACGAUGCAUAGCCGACCUGAGAGGGUGGUCGCCCACACUGGAACUGAGACGCGGUCCAGGCUCCUACGGGAGGCAGCAGUAGGGAAUCUUCCGCAAUGGGCGAAAGCCUGACGGAGCGACGCCGCGUGAGUGAUGAAGGUCUUCGGAUCGUAAAGCUCUGUUAUUAGUGAAGAACAUAUGUGUAAGUAACUGUGCACAUCUUGACGGUACCUAAUCAGAAAGCCCCGGCUAACUACGUG